GACGAACGCUGGCGGCGUGCUUAACACAUGCAAGUCGAACGAUGAAGCCGGAGCUUGCUCUGGUGAAUUAGUGGCGAACGGGUGAGUAACACGUGAGUAACCUGCCCUUGACUCUGGGAUAACUGCUAGAAAUGGUAGCUAAUACCGGAUACGACCCUCGGAGGCAUCUUCAGGGGGUGGAAAGAAUUUCGGUCAAGGAUGGACUCGCGGCCUAUCAGCUAGUUGGUGAGGUAAUGGCUCACCAAGGCGACGACGGGUAGCCGGCCUGAGAGGGUAACCGGCCACACUGGGACUGAGACACGGCCCAGACUCCUACGGGAGGCAGCAGUGGGGAAUAUUGAACAAUGGGCGCAAGCCUGAUGCAGCAACGCCGCGUGAGGGAUGACGGCCUUCGGGUUGAAAACCUCUUUUAGUAGGGAAGAAGCGAAAGUGACGGUACCUGCAGAAAAAGCACCGGCUAACUACGUGCCAGCAGCCGCCGUAA
rnacentral:rRNA from 1 species